rnacentral:rRNA from 1 species
AGCCUGAUGCAGCCAUGCCGCGUGUAUGAAGAAGGCCUUCGGGUUGUAAAGUACUUUCAGCAGUGAGGAAGGUGGUGUCGUUAAUAGCGGCAUCAUUUGACGUUAGCUGCAGAAGAAGCACCGGCUAACUCCGUGCCAGCAGCCGCGGUAAUACGGAGGGUGCGAGCGUUAAUCGGAAUUACUGGGCGUAAAGCGCAUGCAGGUGGUUUGUUAAGUCAGAUGUGAAAGCCCGGGGCUCAACCUCGGAAUUGCAUUUGAAACUGGCAGACUAGAGUACUGUAGAGGGGGGUAGAAUUUCAGGUGUAGCGGUGAAAUGCGUAGAGAUCUGAAGGAAUACCGGUGGCGAAGGCGGCCCCCUGGACAGAUACUGACACUCAGAUGCGAAAGCGUGGGGAGCAAACAGGAUUAGAUACCCUGGUAGUCCACGCCGUAAACGAUGUAAAGCUAAUAAAUUGUGGCCUUGAGCCGUGGCUUUCGGAGCUAACGCGUUAAGUAGACCGCCUGG